GUAGGUGGCAAGCGUUGUCCGGAAUUAUUGGGCGUAAAGCGCGCGCAGGCGGUCCUUUAAGUCUGAUGUGAAAGCCCACGGCUCAACCGUGGAGGGUCAUUGGAAACUGGGGGACUUGAGUACAGAAGAGGAAAGCGGAAUUCCAAGUGUAGCGGUGAAAUGCGUAGAGAUUUGGAGGAACACCAGUGGCGAAGGCGGCUUUCUGGUCUGUAACUGACGCUGAGGCGCGAAAGCGUGGGGAGCAAACAGGGAUUAGAUACCCUGGUAGUCCACGCCGUAAACGAUGAGUGCUAAGUGUUGGGGGGGUUUCCCGCCCCUUAGUGCUGCAGCUAACGCAUUAAGCACUCCGCCUGGGGAUACGGCCGCAAGGCUG
rnacentral:rRNA from 1 species